GGUGGAGCGGUACAGGCCUUGACCCCAAAGGCGAGGCCUUUCUGCGACUGCCAGGUUGGGGAGCUCCGAGAAUGUGCCAACAGACGGCAGAAUACGUGGUUCCCUGCUCCACAAAAAACAAGUAUACUUGACAGCUAAGGACAGCCAUUAGAAAGAAGAGGUACUAGAAGCUAUACAAGUUUGUACUGAGGAUACAAGCCACUUACUGGAACUUAACCUCUCUGGGAGCCUUAUAAAAUGAGUGCAAACAAUAUAUCAUGCAUGCUAAGUCACUUCAGUCAUGUCCAACUCUUUGCAACCCUAUGGACUAUAGCCCUCCAAGCUCCCCUAUACACAGGAUUCUCCAGGUUGUCCCAGUGCAGCGGCUUUGAGUGCCCUGUUUCAUGCAUCGAACUUGGACCGGUCAUCCACUUCACAUGUGGUAAUAUACAUGAUUCAAUGCUAUUCUCUCAAAUCAUCCCACCCUCUCCUUCUCCCACAGAGUCCAAAUGUCUGUUCUUUAUAUCUGUGUCUCUUUUGCUGUCUCGCAUACAGGGUCACC
ensembl:lncRNA